rnacentral:rRNA from 1 species
AUUGAACGCUGGCGGCAGGCUUAACACAUGCAAGUCGAGCGGAGAGAGGUAGCUUGCUACUGAUCUUAGCGGCGGACGGGUGAGUAAUGCCUAGGAAUCUGCCUGGUAGUGGGGGACAACGUUUCGAAAGGAACGCUAAUACCGCAUACGUCCUACGGGAGAAAGUGGGGGAUCUUCGGACCUCACGCUAUCAGAUGAGCCUAGGUCGGAUUAGCUAGUUGGUGAGGUAAAGGCUCACCAAGGCGACGAUCCGUAACUGGUCUGAGAGGAUGAUCAGUCACACUGGAACUGAGACACGGUCCAGACUCCUACGGGAGGCAGCAGUGGGGAAUAUUGGACAAUGGGCGAAAGCCUGAUCCAGCCAUGCCGCGUGUGUGAAGAAGGUCUUCGGAUUGUAAAGCACUUUAAGUUGGGAGGAAGGGCAGUAAGUUAAUACCUUGCUGUUUUGACGUUACCAACAGAAUAAGCACCGGCUAACUUCGUGCCAGCAGCCGCGGUAACAC